rnacentral:tRNA from 1 species
AUUUAAGUAGUUUAAUAAAAAUAUUGAUUUGUGGUGUCAAAGAUGUAAUAUUAUGUUACCUUAGAUC